rnacentral:rRNA from 1 species
UACAGGGGAUGCAAGCGUUAUCCGGAAUGAUUGGGCGUAAAGCGUCUGUAGGUGGUAGUUGAAGUCUGCUGUUCAAGACCAGGGCUUAACCCUGGGCCGGCAGUGGAAACUCAGCUGCUUGAGUGCGGUAGGGGCAGAGGGAAUUCCCGGUGUAGCGGUGAAAUGCGUAGAUAUCGGGAAGAACACCGAUGGCGAAGGCGGCUUCCUGGACCGACACUGACGCUGAGGCGCGAAAGCUAGGGGAGCAAACGGG